rnacentral:rRNA from 1 species
UGCGUAGGUGGUUUCUUAAGUCAGAGGUGAAAGGCUACGGCUCAACCGUAGUAAGCCUUUGAAACUGGGAAACUUGAGUGCAGGAGAGGAGAGUGGAAUUCCUAGUGUAGUGGUGAAAUGCGUAGAUAUUAGGAGGAACACCAGUUGCGAAGGCGGCUCUCUGGACUGCAACUGACACUGAGGCACGAAAGCGUGGGGAGCAAACA